rnacentral:rRNA from 1 species
GAUGAACGCUAGCGAUAGGCUUAACACAUGCAAGUCGAGGGGCAGCAUGGUCUUAGCUUGCUAAGACUGAUGGCGACCGGCGCACGGGUGCGUAACGCGUAUGCAACUUGCCUCACAGAGGGGGAUAACCCGUCGAAAGACGGACUAAUACCGCGUACACUCCAUCUUGGGCAUCCAAGGUAGAGGAAAUGAAAUUCGCUGUGAGAUAGGCAUGCGUCCCAUUAGCUAGUUGGUGAGGUAACGGCUCACCAAGGCGACGAUGGGUAGGGGAACUGAGAGGUUGAACCCCCACACUGGUACUGAGACACAGACCAGACUCCUACGGGAGGGAGCAGUGAGGAAUAUUGGUCAAUGGGCGAGAGCCUGAACCAGCCAAGUCGCGUGAAGGAUGACUGUCUUAUGGAUUGUAAACUUCUUUUAUACGGGAAUAACAAGAGUCACGUGUGACUCCCUGCAUGUACCGUAUGAAUAAGCAUCGGCUAACUCCGUG